AUCACCUGGGAAUCUUGUUUAAAUGCAGAUUCAGCUCAGGUAGGUCAGGUAGGACCUGAGAUUCUGCAUUUCUAACAAGCUCUCAAGUGAUAUUUU
rfam:Pan troglodytes isolate Yerkes chimp pedigree #C0471 (Clint) chromosome 7, whole genome shotgun sequence.